UCCCUGGUGGUCCAGUGGUUAGGACUCAGUGCUUUCACGGCCGUGGCCCAGGUUCAGUUCCUGGUCAGGGAG